AGGUACAGAGAUUAAAAAGGGCCAGGGAGCCCACAGCCCAAAAGGGGCAGAGAUUUUAGAGGGUUAGCCUACAGAGAGUAGAGAGAGGGCCAGGGAUCCACAGUCCUAGAGGGGUGGGACUGGAGCCCUACAGCCACAAUGGCAUGAUGGCAUAAAAGAAGAGCUACCCUGGCUUGUAGGGUAAGGAAGCUGCUGGAUUUAUUUUCAUUUGUUCCAUGUAUUGAACACCUCAAGAGCCCUGGAUCAGUGCUUUUUUAUAUACCACGUGUUGAAACGAAUAAGAUUACAUAACGAAUGUGUUGUAUGAGAAACCCACUAGUCCUUCCUCAGGCAAAAUUCCUAUUAGACCCAAGAAGGUGUUGCAGGAGUUGUUUUUUCAAGGGAAUGUAGCAGUGCCUGGAGGCAGGCAGAAUGGCCCCAGGAAGUCCAGGUGAGCAGAGGCAGCGGGUGUUGCCGUACCUUUUACAAGAGCUUCAUCCUUAUGGAAAAUGAUGGCUACCCUUGCACAUGCUCCCUCCUCUGCCUUGUAAA